AAACGUAGGAGGCGAGCGUUAUCCGGAUUUACUGGGUGUAAAGCGCGUGCAGGCGGUUCUGCAAGUGGGACGUGAAAGCGCCCGGCUCAACCGGGCGAGGACGUACCGAACUGCGGGACUAGAGGCAGGUAGAGGCGUGUGGAAUUCCGGGUGUAGCGGUGAAAUGCGUAGGGAUCCGGAGGAACACCAGUGGCGAAGGCGACACGCUGGGCCUGGCCUGACGCUCAGACGCGAAAGCAUGGGGAGC
rnacentral:rRNA from 1 species